AUGGUAUGAAAUGUUUAUUAUUAUGUGUGGACCUAAGGUAUUAUUUCCUUAAUGGGGAAGAAACCCUAGUUUCUUUCCAAGGUUGGUCCAUACCCUCACCACUAUAAAUAGUUGUCACUGGCCCAUUAAGUGACUAAC